rnacentral:rRNA from 1 species
GAGUUUGAUCGUGGCUCAGAUUGAACGCUGGCGGCAGGCCUAACACAUGCAAGUCGAGCGGUAGAGAGAAGCUUGCUUCUCUUGAGAGCGGCGGACGGGUGAGUAAUGCCUAGGAAUCUGCCUGGUAGUGGGGGAUAACGCUCGGAAACGGACGCUAAUACCGCAUACGUCCUACGGGAGAAAGCAGGGGACCUUCGGGCCUUGCGCUAUCAGAUGAGCCUAGGUCGGAUUAGCUAGUUGGUGAGGUAAUGGCUCACCAAGGCGACGAUCCGUAACUGGUCUGAGAGGAUGAUCAGUCACACUGGAACUGAGACACGGUCCAGACUCCUACGGGAGGCAGCAGUGGGGAAUAUUGGACAAUGGGCGAAAGCCUGAUCCAGCCAUGCCGCGUGUGUGAAGAAGGUCUUCGGAUUGUAAAGCACUUUAAGUUGGGAGGAAGGGCAGUAAAUUAAUACUUUGCUGUUUUGACGUUUACCGACUAGAAUAAGCACCGGCUAACUCUGUGCCAGCAC